rnacentral:rRNA from 1 species
UACGUAGGUCCCAAGCGUUGUCCGGAUUUAUUGGGCGUAAAGCGAGCGCAGGCGGUUUGAUAAGUCAGAAGUAAAAGGCUGUGGCUCAACCAUAGUACGCUUUUGAAACUGUCAAACUUGAGUGCAGAAGGGGGGAGUGGAAUUCCAUGUGUAGCGGUGAAAUGCGUAGAGAUUAGGAGGAACACCAGUGGCGAAGGCGGCUUUUUGGCCUGUAACUGACACUGAGGCGCGAAAGCGUGGGGAGCAAACAGG